rnacentral:rRNA from 1 species
UAGGGAAUCUUCCGCAAUGGGCGAAAGCCUGACGGAGCAACGCCGCGUGAGUGAUGAAGGUCUUCGGAUCGUAAAACUCUGUUAUUAGGGAAGAACAAAUGUGUAAGUAACUAUGCACGUCUUGACGGUACCUAAUCAGAAAGCCACGGCUAACUCCGUGCCAGCAGCCGCGGUACUACGUAGGUGGCAAGCGUUAUCCGGAAUUAUUGGGCGUAAAGCGCCCGUAGGCGGUUUUUUAAGUCUGAUGUGAAAGCCCACGGCUCAAACGUGGAGGGUCAUUGGAAACUGGAAAACUUGAGUGCAGAAGAGGAAAGUGGAAUUCCAUGUGUAGCGGUGAAAUGCGCAGAGAUAUGGAGGAACACCAGUGGCGAAGGCGACUUUCUGGUCUGUAACUGACGCUGAUGUGCGAAAGCGUGGGGAUCAAACAGG